UGGGGAAUUUUGGACAAUGGGCGCAAGCCUGAUCCAGCAAUGCCGCGUGCAGGAUGAGGGCCUUCGGGUUGUAAACUGCUUUUGUACGGAGCGAAAAGGUCUGCCCUAAUACGGUGGGCUAAUGACGGUACCGUAAGAAUAAGCACCGGCUAACUACGUGCCAGCAGCCGCGGUAAUACGUAGGGUGCGAGCGUUAAUCGGAAUUACUGGGCGUAAAGCGUGCGCAGGCGGUGAUGUAAGACAGAUGUGAAAUCCCCGGGCUCAACCUGGGACCUGCAUUUGUGACUGCAUCGCUGGAGUGCGGCAGAGGGGGAUGGAAUUCCGCGUGUAGCAGUGAAAUGCGUAGAUAUGCGGAGGAACACCGAUGGCGAAGGCAAUCCCCUGGGCCUGCACUGACGCUCAUGCACGAAAGCGUGGGGAGCAAACA
rnacentral:rRNA from 1 species